AUUGAACGCUGGCGGCAGGCCUAACACAUGCAAGUCGAGCGGAUGAAGGGAGCUUGCUCCUGGAUUCAGCGGCGGACGGGUGAGUAAUGCCUAGGAAUCUGCCUGGUAGUGGGGGAUAACGUCCGGAAACGGGCGCUAAUACCGCAUACGUCCUGAGGGAGAAAGUGGGGGAUCUUCGGACCUCACGCUAUCAGAUGAGCCUAGGUCGGAUUAGCUAGUUGGUGGGGUAAAGGCCUACCAAGGCGACGAUCCGUAACUGGUCUGAGAGGAUGAUCAGUCACACUGGAACUGAGACACGGUCCAGACUCCUACGGGAGGCAGCAGUGGGGUAUAUUGGACAAUGGGCGAAAGCCUGAUACAGCCAUGCCGCGUGUGUGAAGAAGGUCUUCGGAUUGUAAAGCACUUUAAGUUGGGAGGAAGGGCAGUAAGUUAAUACCUUGCUGUUUUGACGUUACCAACAGAAUAAGCACCGGCUAACUUCGUG
rnacentral:rRNA from 1 species